UACUUACGUUGGUAAAAGAGUAGGUAAGUUAAAGAAAAAACCCCCGGAGAUUCAUUGCGAAUUAUUUUGUAAACUAUUUAGUUCUAAUAAGGAAGAAGGACUAUAAACUGAUUAACGUAACUUCCAAUUGGGGACUAAAUCUUGGAGAAACCAACAAAGAAAAGAAGCAAAAAAAAUAUGUGAAAAACAGAUACUUGCCUUCCUAAAAGGAAAACAUUGAAAGAAACGAAAUAGGCUUUUUUCGUUUUAAUGGAAAGAAGUAAAUUUUUUUAAGGACGGAACACUUUUUUCGUAGCUUUAUUGAGGAUGGUCCCAAAGGGAUGUGUGAUGGACACAACCAAAGCAGAAUUCUUCAAAUCCGAUUAACUUAAUUAUAAAUUUUUAGAUAACGUUA